CCUACGGGUGGCAGCAGUGAGGAAUAUUGGUCAAUGGGCGGGAGCCUGAACCAGCCAAGUCGCGUGAGGGAAGACGGUCCUAUGGAUUGUAAACUUCUUUUGGCGGGGAGCAAUGCCGGGCACGCGUGCCCGGAGGGAGAGUACUCGCAGAUUACGCAUCGGCUAACUCCGUGCCAGCAGCGGCGGUACUACGGUGGAUGCGAGCGUUAGCCGGAUUUAUUGGGUUUAAGGGGUGCGUAGGCGGAUUUUUAAGUCAGCGGUAAAAUGUCCGGGCUCAACCUGGGCCGGCAGUGGAAACUGGGGAUCUUGAGUGGACGAGAGGUAGGCGGAAUGCGUGGUGUAGCGGUGAAAUGCAUAGAUAUCACGAAGAACUCCGAUUGCGAAGGCAGCAUACCGGCGCCCGACUGACGCUGAGGCACGAAAGCGUGGGGAUCGAACAGGAUUAGAUACCCCAGUAGUC
rnacentral:rRNA from 1 species